UACAGAGGCCUCGAGCGUUUAGGCGGAAGUCACUGGGCUUAAAGCGUGUGUAGGCGGACUUCUAAAGUACCGUUGUGAAAUCCCCACGGCUCACCGUGGAACUGCUUGGUAUACUGGGUUGAUCUUGGAGCCGUUACUAGGGGCGAGUGGAACAAAUGGUGGAGACGGUGAAAUGCGUAGAUAUCAUUUGGGAGCGCCAAGUGGUGAAAACAACGUCGCUGGGGAAGUGCUGA
rnacentral:rRNA from 1 species